rnacentral:snoRNA from 1 species
CUAAUAUGGAUAUUUUAGGAUGUCACUGUCAUUGGGCUCUGUCCAAGUGAUAGAGAGGCCUAUGCCCCAUGAGAUCCAUAGUUCUUUCCACAAUGUUGGAAAAGGGGCUGGGCCUUGAAUCUGUGCCUGUAUAUUCUUACAACUCCUCCAAACCCUGUAGGUGUGUCUCCCUGACUGAGCAAACAAUUCAUGCAGGACAGCA